CUCAAGGGUAGAGAGUGACACGAGGACCGUUCUCAUCCAAGUGUGAGCUGGCUGGUAUCACUGAGGGCGGCUUCACACCUAACAGGUUCGGUCCAGUUACAAUCAGCUCAUAUCGGAACAGGCCGGGACGGCUUGAAAAGAGCUGAAUCAUCCCUGGACUGGAUGCAUCCCCGUCAUCCUGUCUCUACCUGUUCUUUUUCAACGUGCGGCCGAUUUUCAGUCAACCAACUGGGCCGAGCAGACAGAGCGCAGCGUGGCCCGGAGCAGAACUCGAUCGUCUGGACGUCUAUUCUAUUCUAUUCAGGACAAGAAAACACACUGAUCUAUUACAGACAGAGACACUGCUGUCUGCGAUUGUGUUUUUACAUAUAGGCCUAUUUAUUCCACAGACAUGAGCAGACACACGCGCACAGACACACAAGCUGUAAAACCCCUCCCUGCUGAUCUUCACACAAUUCUGGUCUGUUUACUUGUGAACAGAAACCAAACAAAAACUACAAUGCAAAAAUGCAUCACCUUUCUCUGUCGGUCCGGAGCAAACAAACCCAACUACAGGUGAGAGAACACCUGAAGCCUGAGGCAACGAUACUUUGUUUAAGUAGCAGAGAUCAUCCUGUGUUAGAUGGACUGAAAGAUCAAUGGAUGGACAGGUGGUGUGGGUGUCAAACAGAGAGGGAGGUGACAGUGUGCCACCAGGAGUAUCUAUCAAUACAUAAGCAGCAACAGUAGUUACUGCACGUAACUUUGGGGCUAUGAGUAACGUGUUUUGCUGCAGGUUAUUGCAGCCACAAUAAAGCAGUUUAUUUUCA